AUUAGAUUUGCCUUUGUACUAAUUCUUUGCCUGGAUUCUCUCAACAACUCCUUCGCUUGAAAGCUUGCUUGUAUUUGGAAGGAUCAGCAAGCUAAGAGAAGCAGUUCUGAUGAAACUUCACUACUUCUGAUGAAGGAGGAAGUGGAGAUGCCAACAUUUGAUGCUGAUUCAGAGGCACCCACCACAUGCUAUAAAAGCUGC